GGCUUUAUAGUCAAUAUAUAUGAUAUUAGAUUGCAAAUCUAGGGUAGCAUUUUUGCUAAAGCUU
rnacentral:tRNA from 1 species